ensembl:lncRNA
CUCGGCCGGGCGUCCCGUCCCGCGUGCCCGGGCUCCAUGCUGUUCGCGCACGGGAGCUCGUCGGCGGGACGCUGGGCAGCCUGGUUGGCCGGUUCCCUGCUCGGCCGGCGCGGGGCGGGGGCGGGGACCGGAGCUGGCAGCGCGCUCGUCUCCUCUCUCUCGCCCCGUCGUCUGCACCGGCGGGUUCAGCCUUGGAAGCUGGGCGCCCGGCUCCCCAGUUCCCGGUUCUGUCUUUCACAAAGGCCUGAAACCGGCGGCGGGGAGCGGGACGUGGGUCUGCCUUUUACAAGUGGCUCCAGCUCAGAUUGAUUUUAGCAAGUUUCGCAAAAACAAAGCAGCCUCCUUCUGUGCCUUUAGGUGACUUCUGUGACAUUUAGCAGCAAAGAAAACUAUUUCCUCUGCCAUUCAGAGCUAACCACGUGUAAUUGGCCCAGAAGUCUGUUGUAUUUCGGGGAACUGUUUGCGAUAUGCCAUCUGUUUCCAUCCCGCGGUUCAAACGAGUCUGUGUUUACCCUUCUGCCGGAGAAAUUGGUUUACAUGCGCAGCAAUUUCGGUGCGACACCGAAAUGUUCCCUUGAACUCACGCUACGGUCCGACGGGCUUUGUACUGCUAAUAACCGUCCAUUUCGUCUGUCAGGAGACAUUCACACAGCCUCGAGGUCGGUCCCAUAAAGGAAGUUAAGAUAGAGGUUUAUCAUAACCAUUUGAAAACCAGUUGGUCUCCGGAGAUGGCCAGAGCCGCAGGCGCCCGGGUCAGGCGAGGUGGCCGAGCGGCCAGGGCGCGGUCGGGCGGCAGGCGCACAGCCCCCUGGCGUUCUGGCUCCCGUGGGGUGGGCGAGGCUGACCCUGAGCGGCCCCCGCAGCUCCUUCCUCCGCCCCGCAGACGCAGUUGCGUCCCUUUUCUCAGCUCCGCGAUUCGUAGCUGGGGGCCCAGCUCCGCGAGCCACAGGUCACGAAAGCGCAGGGCAGCGGCGCGAGCCCGGGGCGGAUGGGCCUCUGAGCGGCGAGUUCGCAGACUGAGGACGGAUGGAGGCCUCAGGGGCCCCCUGGCCGUUUCGGGGCCGCAGGGAGCCGGUUCGCUGCACCCCGGGGAGGCACAGGUCUCCAUGCCAGGGCUGGGGCCGCAGAAAGGGACCCGAUCGCUGGAGCUUGAAGCGCCGGCGGACGCGGUGCCGGUGGGUGGCGGUCUCGGUUUGGCCUGUCGCGGGCUCCUGCCGAGGCCCGCGAGCGGGGGGCCGGGGCCGCGAGGUGGCUGCGUAGGGGGCUCCGCGGGCCCGGGAGUGUCGUUGGAGCCGCGCCCCGGGCGGUCCUGGGCUGAGUAAUCGGAGAAAUUGCUCUGAAAUCGCGUCGGCUGCCCCGGCUGAAAGGCCCCGUAAUCAGCCCCUGGCAUGUGUGCAAAUGCUGAUUUUUCGGGUGUUACUUAAUCCACGCCAGCGGUGGAAAGCCUCGGAUCUCAGCAGCUGUUCUAGGGCGAACAUCGCCCAACAAGACUGCUACCAUCACAGGAGGAAUCUCAAGGUUUGAUUGCCUGCGAGUGUUUUACAGACAGUACUUGAAAUUUUGUACGUGAUUAGAAAGAAUAACGACGCUGCAUUUCUAAUCAUUUUUGAGACCACUUUUACGUGAUUGGUGUUUGGAAGCAAAAUAAUUCUUUCUGCUUGAGAAGAAUGUUUGAUUCUGUUACUCCACAUGCAUUUGGCAGACUUAAAAACAAAUCUGGACACAGCUGCUAUUUUGGCUCUACCUGCAUCCCCCCCAAAACACACGCUUUCUUUGGUUUGAGUUUUCAGACCACACACACGCAGACCUGAGGGUUACAGAAGUGACAGAGUCUUAUCAGUUCUAUAGCUGACGGAAGGCCUGCUCUCUGACUGCCUGCCCCUUCACAGUAUCGCACUGUGGGAAGAUGUUCCCCUCCCUUAAUACUGUGGGAUGUGCUGGGACGACUCUCUGUGCCCAUCUGCUUUGCCGUUUAAAACAUAGCUAGUUUAAGUCCAGGGGGUCUGAAGCCUGCUUUCUUCAGAUAUUGCACAAGGUCUCUAACCGUACUCAUCUAUAAUGAGCCUGUGGCCUCAAAUCUGCCCAGCCGAGGUGCCGGUGGGCCUGGGGCCCAGGCCGGGGUCAGCUGCCCCGCUGUUGGGGCAGUUCCACCAUGGGGAGCCCUGCAGGUGAGAUACAGCCGCACCCCUACAUUCACCUCCCUGUCUCCCUCUCCCCAUCAGAAGGCCAAAAGCCCUGCCUGCCCCUAAAAUACCUGAAACAAAGUACACAUUUUAAAACUUUUGUCAACCUGUGAACAGUUGAAUUUUUGCCCGUUAAUGAAAUUGAGCACUCAACUUUCAUUUCUUCCGUGUAGGUUCUUCCGUGUCUGUUCACUGAAACUUUGCCCACCACACAGAGCAUAUGGCGAUCAACUUCUUCUCUUUUGGAAAACCACCUAUACGUGCACUCCAGAGCGGGGCGUGGAGACUGGUCUCAUUCCAGGAGACGGAUGGAAGGGAUGAAGCGACACGGAGCCUGUGCCAGCUCACGUGGACAUCUGACUGCACAGAGGAGUAGGCACAUGUGGCCCAGUGAAGCUGGUAACCACCCUCGUCCAACAGGCUAAAGGCAGAGAGUUUUUUUAGUCAUUGUUAUUUGUAAAGGGCCGAAGGAUAAAUUGAUGUGUAAUGUUGCAGCAUCGCAAUACAGAUAUGGAUUUUUGCCCCAGCUGUGAUUUUUACUAUCUUGGACAAGUCACAUAGCUUUCCUUGAAUCAUGCAUAUUUUUCCCACUAAAAUCAGAGACAACAAUGGCUGCUUCACUGAUAUGAUAUGAGAUAUGAUAUGAGAAUUAAAUGAAAUAACGUGUAUGAAAUCACUGAUGUAUGUUGAAAGUCCUCUAUAAUGCUCUAUAAAUGGCUACAUUUCUAACUGGAGUUUUUCUGGAGUGUAAAUUGUCAGAAAGAAUUGCCUGGACUUGCUCUGUGUGCGCACAGCCUUUGCCAACUGUGACUCGGCUCUGAGCAAAUGCCUGAAGUACCUGGGGAAGGGAAGAUAGCCUGUUCCGGGGGUGGGGCCCCCCCAUGUUGUACCCCAUCUGCCAGCACGGGGCGUGCAGAUAAAAACUUCAUCACUGAGGAGGGCGACAGGGGUUCUGUCAGAGCCUGGAGUGAGAGAAGGUCUAAGGGGCAGGAGGAGAGGGUGGCGAUGACGCGGGUGCGUUCAGUGGCCCUCUGCCAGCCGUGUGGCAAGGAGGAUGGAGCACAGGGCCCUGGGGCUCGCCACCUUCCCUGGGCUCCUCUUCCCUGCGGCCCUGGCCUCCCUCUCAGGGCCUGAGGCCCGCACCUGCAGGACGGGGAGAGUGGCAGCACCUGCCCACGACACUGCAGUGAAGACUAACCGGGUGAGGGCUUGCCAAGGGCUUAGACCUGCGCUCGGUGUGCUGG